rnacentral:tRNA from 1 species
AUUUUUAUAGUUUAAAUUUAAAACAUAGUAUUGAAAAUACUAAAAUAAUUUUUUUUUAAAAAUU